rnacentral:lncRNA from 7 species
GGGAGGUGAAAGAAAAAGUGACAGAGAAGUUAUAUUAAAUUGACCUGCUCCACGGAACUGAGGACUCCUGGAAGGAAGAGGGAAACACAGAAUCUGCUGGUUUUAGUGAGAAAGUGCUUGGUGAGAUGCUGGAUGAGGGUUUGCGUUCUGGUCCUGUGCCAGGAACAAUGCAAGCAAUGGCAGUCAGAUAUGAAAGCAUAACAAUGUGUGUGUGUGGGGACUGGAAGUCGGUUGUCCCUCUGGCCUGUUUAAACUCCCAGACACUGAGAGAGUCCCUUCUUCUCAUUCUUUCCCUUUAGAAAGAACAUUUUGGAAUUUUAGAAAGGAACCUCUCUUUCUCUCCAAUGAAUAGAACGUGUGUGCACAUACUUACUCAUUUAAAAGCAUAUACAGACAUUUAAAUAUUAGACCAAAAGUUUUUCAUUAUAUAUAUCUAUACCAGAUAGAGAAGAAGUAGGUUGAAAUAUCUGAUGAUGUGACGCUUUUCCGAGUGACAUUUGGUCAGAAGGCUGCUUGGCAGUGCUAAUUUUUAAACAUGCUUUUAGGACCUAGUACAGUGCAAGAGGGUAAAAUAUAUUUUAGAUGCAUUAUAGAGCAUUGUGGUGUAGUGAUGUUUAUAGCCUAGUCAAAGAGAGAACCUCACAUUGCAAAUGUAUCUAAUAAGUAUUUGAUGAUUUUGCUUUCCUCCAGCAAUGGUGAAGCUCCACUGAUUUGUCUGUAUCAGGGUUUUGUCCCAUUCGUUUUGUAGCGUUCCCAUUUACUUCCUAUACCUACUGAGCUCCUUACAGGGCUUUCUUUCCAACUGCCUACAGAGUUUCUCCUGUGGCCGUCUCUAAGUGUGCUGCAUUUCCUCAAAGCAUCUUCUUAUUCAUCCCAUCUCCUGUUUUAUGUUGAAAGCUUUUAAAAUACAUUUUAAUGAUGCAUAGCAGCAAUAUAAUGAGCCUAAUAGCAUGCUAUUGAUUUUCAUUUGCAACACUGGCAUUCAAACAUUUCAAUAGUGUUUUAAGAGUGUGUAUAUUUAAUGUGAUUCAAAGACAGGGCAAAUGCACUACAAUAUUUAUCUGCUAAAAAAAACUCCACUAUCUCUUACCAACUGAAUCCUCCCUCCAUCCUCCCCCGCAGUGUUUGUUGCAAUCAGCUGCAUUAGAAGUAUAUCAUUUUCAGUGUCUUAAAACAAGCAAGCCAAAAUCCUUGGUACAAGGAAGUAAAGGGGAAAAACAACAGGUCACUGUAUCUGCCCAUAUCUUUGUUUAUCUGCUGUGGUCACAGUGAAGAUAUUAAAGAUGCAGACCCAGUCAGUGCUGUUGGUGAAUGCAGUGUUUUAGCUUCAGAGUGAAGAAAGCUGCUCCAGGAUACUCUCUAGAUAGGAAUUAGCUGAGUUAUGGAACACACUAGCUCAGGCUAAGAAAAACGAGCAGAAAAAUGAGACUGGCAAAUGUACACAUCACCAUAAGAUAAGAUAACCGUUCUCAUUUGCUCGAUAACCUGGUAGUUACACCCUACAGAGAGCACUGCUUUCGGGAGCAGUUUCUGUGUACUCAGUGAGCAGGAUGUGAAGCAGCCAUUCAGUUCACUCUGAAUGUAUGUGCAGUGUCACCUGCAUGUAUGACCACUUGGAGGUAAUGCUAUAACAGCAGCGUUGACAAGCUGCGCCAGCGACACAUACACACACCAGAUGGCUGUGCUACUGUUCAACAGGACCUGGACAGACCUGUGAGUUGGGCAGAGAGAAACCUGAUGAGCUUCAGCAAGAACAAGCACGGGAUCCCGUACCUGGGAAGAAAUAACUGCAUGUAUCAGUACAGAUGAGGGGCUGACCUGCUGGAAAGGAGCUCUGUGGGGAAGGACUUAAGUGUUCUAGUGGACAACAGUUUGGCCUUCAGCCAGCAGUGUGCCACUCUGAGGUACUGUGGCUCCCCAGUUCGAGAACGAGAGGAAGAGAGGGAACUUCUUGAGAGAAUCCAGCAGAGGCCUGCAAAGAAGAUGAGGGGCCUGGAGCAUCUACACUAUUGAGGAAAGGCUGAGAGACCUGGGGCUGUUCAGCCUGGAGAAGAGUAGGAUGAGAGGGGAUCUCAUCACUAUUUAUAAAUACCUAAAAGGUGGGAGUCAAAUCAAUGAGGCCAGGCUCUUUUUGGUGAUGUGCAGUUACAGGACAAGGGAUAAUGGGCAGCCCAUUCCAGUGCCUGACCACCCUUUCAGAGAAGUAGUAUUUCCUAACGUCCAGCCUGAACCUUCCCUGGCGCAGCUUGAAGCCAUUCCCUCUAGUCCUAAUGUAUGUCCUAAUAUAUGAAUGUAACAUAUAUGUGUAACAUGUAUAUAGCAUGAUUACUUAUUUACCUGUAUUUGCGGUGAUGUUUGGAAAGGAGCCUUAAAAUAAAGCUAUGAUUAUAGAC